rnacentral:rRNA from 1 species
UACGGAGGGUGCGAGCGUUAAUCGGAAUACUGGCGUAAAGCGCACGCAGGCGGCUUGUUAAGCUAGAGGUGAAAGCCCCGCGCUCAACCGUGGGAACUGCCUUUGAGAACUGGCAGGCUAGAGUCUUGGAGGAGGGGAGUGGAAUUCCAGGUGUAGCGGUGAAAUGCGUAGAUAUCUGGAGGAACAUCAGUGGCGAAGGCGGCUCCCUGGCCAAAGACUGACGCUCAUGUGCGAAAGUGUGGGUAGCGAACAGGAUUAGAUACCCCCGUAGUCC